CCACCCUCAAGCCCUAGCUGCUUGGUGUUGGGGUACUCUACAGCCUGCUGUAGGCCCCGAAAAUCAGUGGCGGUCUCACUGGGACUCCGAGCGUAGUAGAUCUCUCUCGCUUAGGGGCGACCAGUGGGUUUCUAGCCGUUAAACCCCCCAAAUUUUAAA
rnacentral:misc_RNA from 1 species